GGAAAUACCGGUGGCGAAGGCGGCCUUCUGGACAAAGACUGACGCUCAGGUGCGAAAGCGUGGGGAGCAAACAGGAUUAGAUACCCUGGUAGUCCACGCCGUAAACGAUGUCUAUUUGGAGGUUGUGCCCUUGAGGCGUGUCUUCCUGAGCUAACGCGUUAAAUCAACCGCCUGGGGAGUACGGCCGCAAGGUUAAAACUCAAAUGAAUUGACGGGGGCCCGCACAAGCGGUGGAACAUGUGGUUUAAUUCGAUGCAACGCGAAAAACCUUACCUGGUCUUGACAUCCACAGAACUUUCCAGAGAUGGAUUGGUGCCUUCUGGAACUGUGAGACAAGUGCUGCAUGGCUGUCGUCAGCUCGUGUUGUGAAAUGUUGGGUUAAUUCCCGCAACGAGCGCAACCCUUAUCCUUUGUUGCCAGCGGUU
rnacentral:rRNA from 1 species